AUUCUACGAGAGCUUCCGGUAUUAGUGAAAGUUGAAGAGUUCGCACGAAAACCCUUUAUUUAUGGCUCCUCUCUGCAUUCAAUUGGUGCCACCCGAUUGUUUAUUUUGUAGCUUUGAUAUAUCUUUACCUGGUUCAUGAGCGUUAUGUUACGAGGCUGCGGAAGAAGUUGCAGUUUGAGGAGAGGAAGCAAGCCAACCAAAGAAGGGUGCUUUCGGAUUCUGAAACAGUCCGGUGGUUGAACCAUGCAGUUGAAAACAUAUGGCCCAUAUGUAUGGAAAAGAUUGCCACUCAGAAUAUUUUACUCCCUAUCAUUCUGUGGUUCUUAGAGAAAUACAAACCUUGGACUGCUGAAUGACUCGUACUGUUCGGUUAUUUGUCUUUGAUUGUGGUUGAUCAUAAUAUGAAUUUUGACCAUUUUCUUGAAAAUUAUGUGAUAUGAAUUUCAUAUUCUCUAUUCAACUUUUAUCAAGAAA